rnacentral:lncRNA from 1 species
GUUUUAUACUUGACCAGAAGGACAGGGAAUGAGGAUCCCCACAACUCAGGAUUCUUCCCCAGGAGAUGCUCUCAGCCCAGGAUUAAAGCCAAAGGGAAGAUAUAGAGGGGUGGAGAACAGGUAGGGGAUCUGUUCCUGAUCUUCCCGAGAGCACAUCUGUCUGAGAGACCCCAUAUCCAACCUUCCUCUUGGACCUAAUGCAUUUGCUAGACAGCAGCUAGGAUCAGUCCUAGCAGAGUGAGACUUUUGGGCAGGUUGUCCACAGCUCAUUCAGUUGAAUGAGCAGGAGGGUUCCCAAACACAGUAGGAAUGGCUUGCCACAUUUUGAAGUAAAUACACCCAGUGAAGUAAUAGCCAACUAUCAGACUCCCUUUUAGGGAGAGUCCUCUGAUUCCCAGUACAUUUGCUUAUUUCAGAGCCCAACAGGCAGGACCCUAAGUCCUGAAAGGUGUUGAGAAGGACACUUCUUUUUACCGGAUUCCUGUUGGCUAUUUUAUAAAAUGUUUUUAGAAGCCAGUGUGGUGUAGUGGUUAAGAGCGGUGGACUCAUAAUCUGGUGAACCAGGUUUGCUUCCCCACUCCUCCACAUGCAGUUGCUGGGUGACCUUGGGCUAGUCACACUUCUCUGAAGUCUCUCAGCCCCACUCGCCUCACAGAGUGUUUGUUGUGGGGGAGGAAGGGAAAGGAGAUUGUUAGCCGCUUUGAGACUACUUAGGGUAGUAUCAAAUCCAAACAACUCUUCUUCUUCUUCUUCACCAAGACUUGCCACCUGGCUUCCAACCCAGAAUCCCUUUGGUCUCUGUGGGUCUACUCCAUUCUUCCUAUUCCUCCUUUCCCUUUGGUUCCUUACUUGCCACUUUCCCUAACAGAUGUACGGAGCUGCCCCCAACAUUGGGUGGGGAGUGUCGCACGUGCAUGAUGCCACAGGUGUGCACCCUCUCAAUCUGGCUGGGACAACCCGGCCCCCCACCCAACCCCCACUGCCGGCCGCCUUACCUUCUUAAAAGGGACGCACCAGUGCAAACACGCUUUGCCCUGGUGUGUUGUUUGGAGGAUUGCCACAGAAUUGGGGGGGCUGGGUCCAUCCUGAAAAAUAUUGGGGAUGACUCCCCUGUUACUUAAGCACUGGCCAUGCUGGCUGGGGCUGACCGGAAAUGGAGUCCAACAUCUAAAGCGCCAUAGAUUCCCCACCCAUCAGCUUAGGGCACAUCCAUGCUCAGCGUGUAGACAGGUUUAACAAUACAGUGGUGCCUCACAAGACGAAUGCCUCGCAAGACGAAAAACGCGCAAGAUGAAAGAGUUUUCCGUUUUUUGAGUUGUUCCGCAAGACGAAUUUCCCUAUGGGCUUGCUUCGCAAGAUGAAACGUCUUGCGAGUUCUUGCGAGUUUGUUUCCUUUUUCUUAAAGCCGCUAAGCCGCUAAGCCGUUAAUAGCCGUUAAGCCACUAAUAGCCGUGCUUCGCAAGACGAAAAAACCGCAAGACGAAGAGACUCGCGGAACGGAUUAAUUUCGUCUUGCGAGGCACCACUGUAAUUCCCUUUCCCCAAGGAAACUGGGAACUGUAGUCCUGCGAAGGGGAGCUGGGGUUGGUAACAUAGGACUAUCAACAUCUCACCGCAUUGUAAUUCCCAGGAAUCUUUGAGGGAAGCUAUGACAGUAAAGCUAAAUAUAAAACCCAAUAUAAGCUUGUAGAUAGGGCAGGAUCUCCCUUUCUCUCCCUCUCUUGUUGUGAGAUUUAUUGAAUCAAUUGGAUAAUUUAAUGACUGUGUGCAGCUAGGCAUUGCUGUUUAACGAUAGUAAAUUAGAUUAUAAAAAACCCCUCCAAGAAUCAAUUUGGACUGUAUUUUAAUGAUCGGCUGCAUUCCCCCCCCCUUUUUGUAUGGGGAAUGAUAAUUUGUUGUUUUUUGCUAUGAUUCUGUCUUGACUAUUUCUUAAGUUGUAAAAUGUCAAAGUCUUUAUCAAUAAAAAAAAAUAAUGUAUGAGAGGGAGACAUUAAUGCUUAAUACUCAAAACUCGUAUGCAGGCUAGAUCCAGUUAGGGGCUUCAGUCUGACACAAGUUUGCUGUCAUAGGAAGCUGCCAUGCACUUGAACCUUGGUUCUCUGGGAUUUCAGGCGGGAUUUUCCCAACCCUACCUGAAGAGGAGGGAGAUUGAACCAGGAGCCUUCUGCAAGCAAAGUUACUGAUGUCUGAAGAGGACAAUGCAGAAUCAAAACUCUUAUUAUAUAUUUCUUGGUGGUGGCCAGAUGGACUAUUGCCCACGGGUGGAUAAAAACAUUGAACUUUUCCCCUUAACAUCUGGUUUAAUAAGGCCCUGAAUAUUGCAGUUUCCGAAAAAAAUGACUCAUUUGAUGCAUGUUUCACAAGGCGCCACUAAGUCAAUGAAUUCUGUUGCUACAUGGAGGAUGUUGUUGAUGUAUCUUAAAAAACAAACUUAUGGCUGGUGCUUUCCCACUGAAUUUGAUUACAAUGGUACUAAUUGCAUAUGACUAUACAGUACCUUACUAUCGGCCUUCUUUGUUUCCACAAAAAUAAUAUUCCCAUUUUCUUGACUGAUCCUAGAUUGAACCUUUCUAUGUUCCCGAGUAAUAUCUAAUUAUGCGUCAUGGAUCUAUAAUGGUUCUUUGCUUUGUUGGAUUGUAUAAUGUUUUGAUUACUCAUGGGUUCAUGGAAUCAUAGAGUUGGAAGGGAACUCCAGGGGUCAUCGAGUCCAACCCCCUGCAAUGCAGGAAUCUCAGCUCAAGCAUCCAUGACAGAUGGCCAUCCAACCUCUGCUUUAAAACCUUGAAUGAAGGAGAGUCCACAGCCUCAUGAGGGAGACCCUUUCACUGUCAAACAGCUCUUUAUGACAGUUCUUCCUGAUGUUUAGUCGGAAUCUCCUGUCUUGUAACUUGAAGGCAGUGGUUCGAGUCCUCCCCUCUAGAGCAGGAGAAAACAAGCUUGUUCCUUCUUCCAUGUGACAGCCCUGAAAUAGUUGCAGAUGGCUAUCCUAUCUCCUCCCAGUCUCUUCUUUUCCAGGCUAAACAUAACCAACUCCCUCAACCGUUCCUCAUAAGGCUUGGUUCCCAAACCCAUGCUAGAACUGAAAUAUUAAAUUGCUAUUUCCCAAUAAAAUGGUGCUGUGGCACUUCUGGGAAGCUUGAGUGGUGCCUCUGAGGUCAAUGUGUUUAUACUGUACGUAAAAUGGGUUUGCUUCAGACUGUCAAUCACAUUUAAUUCCUAUUGAAAUCAACUGAGCCAAAGUUGGUCAUGACUAAUUCCACAAAGCUUAUGACAUAAUAAAUGUUGUCCUUGAAGG